rnacentral:rRNA from 1 species
CGUAAAGAACCUGCCUCAUAGACUGGGACAACUAUUGGAAACGACAGCUAAUACCGGAUAACAGUAUUUCUCGCAUGAGAGAUAUUUAAAAGUUGGUUAUGCUAACACUAUGAGAUGGCUUUGCGGUGCAUUAGCUAGUUGGUGGGGUAAAGGCCCACCAAGGCGACGAUGCAUAGCCGACCUGAGAGGGUGAUCGGCCACACUGGGACUGAGACACGGCCCAG